rnacentral:rRNA from 1 species
GAUCCCAUCAGAACUCCGCAGUGAAGCGUGCUUGGGCGAGAGUAGUACUAAGUUGGGUGACCACUUGGGAAGUCCUCGUGUUGCACCCCU